rnacentral:tRNA from 25 species
GGGAUCAUAGCUCAGCUGGGAGAGCACCUGCCUUACAAGCAGGGGGUCGCAGGUUCGAGCCCUGCUGGUCCCACCA